rnacentral:rRNA from 1 species
UACGUAGGGGGCGAGCGUUAUCCGGAUUCAUUGGGCGUAAAGCGCGCGCAGGCGGCCGCCUAAGCGGAACCUCUAACCCCGGGGCUCAACCUCGGGCCGGGUUCCGGACUGGGCGGCUCGAGUGCGGUAGAGGAGAGCGGAAUUCCCGGUGUAGCGGUGGAAUGCGCAGAUAUCGGGAAGAACACCGAUGGCGAAGGCAGCUCUCUGGGCCGUCACUGACGCUGAGGCGCGAAAGCUGGGGGAGCGAACAGG